rnacentral:piRNA from 1 species
UGCAAUUCAGGUGAAAGGAUAGGAUCAGC